rnacentral:rRNA from 1 species
AGAGUUUGAUCCUGGCUCAGGAUGAACGCUAGCGGCAGGCUUAACACAUGCAAGUCGAGGGGUAGAUUUUCUUCGGAGAAUUGAGACCGGCGCACGGGUGCGUAACGCGUAUGCAACUUACCUUAUACUGGGGGAUAGCCCGGAGAAAUUCGGAUUAAUACCGCAUAUGCUCACAGUUUCGCAUGGAACAGUGAGGAAAGAUUUAUCGGUAUAAGAUAGGCAUGCGUCCUAUUAGCUUGUUGGUGAGGUAACGGCUCACCAAGGCGAUGAUAGGUAGGGGGCCUGAGAGGGUGGUCCCCCACACUGGUACUGAGACACGGACCAGACUCCUACGGGAGGCAGCAGUGAGGAAUAUUGGGCAAUGGAGGCAACUCUGACCCAGCUAUGCCGCGUGAAGGAUGAAGGUCCUCUGGAUUGUAAACUUCUUUUGUAUGGGGAUAAACUUUUCUACGUGUAGAAAACUGAAGGUACCAUACGAAUAAGGAUCGGCUAACUCCGUGCCAGCAGCCGCGGUAAUACGGAGGAUCCAAGCGUUAUCCGGAUUUCUUGGGUUUAAAGGGUCC